CCUACGGGUGGCUGCAGUGGGGAAUUUUGGACAAUGGGGGCAACCCUGAUCCAGCCAUUCCGCGUGAGUGAAGAAGGCCUUCGGGUUGUAAAGCUCUUUUGUCCGGAGCGAAACGGGCGGCCCUAAUACGGUCGUCUACUGACGGUACCGGAAGAAUAAGCACCGGCUAACUACGUGCCAGCAGCCGCGGUAAUACGUAGGGUGCGAGCGUGCGUCGGAAUUACUGGGCCGGAAGCGUGAGCAGGCGGUGAAAUCCCCGGGCGCGACCUGGGAAUGGCAUUUGGGACUGCAAGGCUGGAGUGUGGCAGAGGGGACUAGAAUUCCUGGUGUAGCAGUGAAAUGCGUAGAUAUCAGGAGGAAUACCGAUGGCGAAGGCAGGUCCCUGGGUUAACACUGACGCUCAUGCACGAAAGCGUGGGGAGCAAACAGGAUUAGAUACCCCAGUAGUC
rnacentral:rRNA from 1 species